rnacentral:rRNA from 1 species
GACGAACGCUGGCGGCGUGCUUAACACAUGCAAGUCGAACGGAAAGGCCCCUUUGGGGGUACUCGAGUGGCGAACGGGUGAGUAACACGUGAGUAACCUGCCCUUGACUUCGGGAUAACUUCAGGAAACUGGGGCUAAUACCGGAUAGGAAUCCUUGCUGCAUGGUGGGGGUUGGAAAGCUUCGGCGGUUUGGGAUGGACUCGCGGCAUAUCAGCUUGUUGGUGGGGUAGUGGCUUACCAAGGCUUUGACGGGUAGCCGGCCUGAGAGGGCGACCGGCCACAUUGGGACUGAGAUACGGCCCAGACUCCUACGGGAGGCAGCAGUGGGGAAUAUUGCACAAUGGGCGGAAGCCUGAUGCAGCAACGCCGCGGGCGGGAUGACGGCCUUCGGGUUGGAAACCGCUUUCAGCAGGGGCGAAGCUUGUGGUGACGGUACCUGCAGAAGAAGCACCGGCUAACUACGUG